UAUUGGACAAUGGGCGAAAGCCUGAUCCAGCCAUGCCGCGUGUGUGAAGAAGGUUUUCGGAUUGUAAAGCACUUUAAGUCCCCCCGGAAGGGCAGUUACCUAAUACGUGAUUGUUUUGACGUUACCGACAGAAUAAGCACCGGCUAACUCUGUGCCAGCAGCCGCGGUAAUACGGAGGGUGCAAGCGUUAAUCGGAAUUACUGGGCGUAAAGCGCGCGUAGGUGGUUAGUUAAGUUGGAUGUGAAAUCCCCGGGCUCAACCUGGGAACUGCAUUCAAAACUGACUGACUAGAGUAUGGUAGAGGGUGGUGGAAUUUCCUGUGUAGCGGUGAAAUGGGUAGAUAUAGGAAGGAACACCAGGGCGAAGGGACCACCGGAGUAUACUACACGAGGGCGAAA
rnacentral:rRNA from 1 species